UACAGGGGGUGCAAACGUUGCUCGGAAUCAUUGGGCGUAAAGCGCACGUAGGCGGUUCGUUAUGUCGGAUGUGAAAUCCCUGGGCUCAACCCAGGAACUGCACUCGAAACUACUAUUCUUGAGUGUCGGAGAGGAAAGCGGAAUUCCUGGUGUAGAGGUGAAAUUCGUAGAUAUCAGGAGGAACACCAGUGGCGAAGGCGGCUUUCUGGACGAUAACUGACGCUGAGACGCGAAAGCGUGGGGAGCAAACAGG
rnacentral:rRNA from 1 species